rnacentral:rRNA from 2 species
UAACACUAACUGGAGGACCGAACCGACUAAUGUUGAAAAAUUAGCGGAUGACCUGUGGCUGGGGGUGAAAGGCCAAUCAAACCGGGAGAUAGCUGGUUCUCCCCGAAAGCUAUUUAGGUAGCGCCUCGUGAAUUCAUCUCCGGGGGUAGAGCACUGUUUCGGCUAGGGGGCCAUCCCGGCUUACCAACCCGAUGCAAACUGCGAAUACCGGAGAAUGUUAUCACGGGAGACACACGGCGGGUGCUAACGUCCGUCGUGAAGAGGGAAACAACCCAGACCGCCAGCUAAGGUCCCAAAGUCAUGGUUAAGUGGGAAACGAUGUGGGAAGGCCCAGACAGCCAGGAUGUUGGCUUAGAAGCAGCCAUCAUUUAAAGAAAGCGUAAUAGCUCACUGGUCGAGUCGGCCUGCGCGGAAGAUGUAACGGGGCUAAACCAUGCACCGAAGCUGCGGCAGCGACACUGUGUGUUGUUGGGUAGGGGAGCGUUCUGUAAGCCUGCGAAGGUGGCCUGUGAGGGUUGCUGGAGGUAUCAGAAGUGCGAAUGCUGACAUAAGUAACGAUAAAGCGGGUGAAAAGCCCGCUCGCCGGAAGACCAAGGGUUCCUGUCCAACGUUAAUCGGGGCAGGGUGAGUCGACCCCUAAGGCGAGGCCGAAAGGCGUAGUCGAUGGGAAACGGGUUAAUAUUCCCGUACUUGGUGUUACUGCGAAGGGGGGACGGAGAAGGCUAUGUUGGCCGGGCGACGGUUGUCCCGGUUUAAGCGUGUAGGUGUGUGUUCCAGGUAAAUCCGGUUCACUUUAACACUGAGGCGUGACGACGAGGCACUACGGUGCUGAAGCAACAAAUGCCCUGCUUCCAGGAAAAGCCUCUAAGCAUCAGGUAACAUCAAAUCGUACCCCAAACCGACACAGGUGGUCAGGUAGAGAAUACCAAGGCGCUUGAGAGAACUCGGGUGAAGGAACUAGGCAAAAUGGUGCCGUAACUUCGGGAGAAGGCACGCUGACACGUAGGUGAAGUGAUUUACUCAUGGAGCUGAAGUCAGUCGAAGAUACCAGCUGGCUGCAACUGUUUAUUAAAAACACAGCACUGUGCAAACACGAAAGUGGACGUAUACGGUGUGACGCCUGCCCGGUGCCGGAAGGUUAAUUGAUGGGGUCAGCGCAAGCGAAGCUCCUGAUCGAAGCCCCGGUAAACGGCGGCCGUAACUAUAACGGUCCUAAGGUAGCGAAAUUCCUUGUCGGGUAAGUUCCGACCUGCACGAAUGGCGUAAUGAUGGCCAGGCUGUCUCCACCCGAGACUCAGUGAAAUUGAACUCGCUGUGAAGAUGCAGUGUACCCGCGGCAAGACGGAAAGACCCCGUGAACCUUUACUAUAGCUUGACACUGAACAUUGAGCCUUGAUGUGUAGGAUAGGUGGGAGGCUUUGAAGUGUGGACGCCAGUCUGCAUGGAGCCGACCUUGAAAUACCACCCUUUAAUGUUUGAUGUUCUAACGUGGACCCGUUACCCGGGUUGCGGACAGUGUCUGGUGGGUAGUUUGACUGGGGCGGUCUCCUCCUAAAGAGUAACGGAGGAGCACGAAGGUUGGCUAAUCCUGGUCGGACAUCAGGAGGUUAGUGCAAUGGCAUAAGCCAGCUUGACUGCGAGCGUGACGGCGCGAGCAGGUGCGAAAGCAGGUCAUAGUGAUCCGGUGGUUCUGAAUGGAAGGGCCAUCGCUCAACGGAUAAAAGGUACUCCGGGGAUAACAGGCUGAUACCGCCCAAGAGUUCAUAUCGACGGCGGUGUUUGGCACCUCGAUGUCGGCUCAUCACAUCCUGGGGCUGAAGUAGGUCCCAAGGGUAUGGCUGUUCGCCAUUUAAAGUGGUACGCGAGCUGGGUUUAGAACGUCGUGAGACAGUUCGGUCCCUAUCUGCCGUGGGCGCUGGAGAACUGAGGGGGGCUGCUCCUAGUACGAGAGGACCGGAGUGGACGCAUCACUGGUGUUCGGGUUGUCAUGCCAAUGGCACUGCCCGGUAGCUAAAUGCGGAAGAGAUAAGUGCUGAAAGCAUCUAAGCACGAAACUUGCCCCGA